AAUGCAGAGCUAUCAAGCAAAACCAAGCUCAGUUUAUUUACAGCACAUAACAUCUUUUAGAAAUGCAAACUCCACUGACAAAGGUUUUAAGAAAAAUGAACUUGUUUCUUAACCAAAUAUUUCAUAUUCCUGUAUUUCUUCAAUUCUAAGACAUAAUCUUUUUCCCAUAUACAGUAGAGUCUCACUUAUCCAACAUAAACGGGCCUGCAGAACGUUGAUAAGCUAAUAUGUUGGAUAAGAAGAGAUUAAGAAAAAGCCUAUUAAACAUUAUUUUUAUUUAUUUAUUUAUUUAUUUACAACAUUUAUACCCCGCCCUUCUCACCCGAGGGGACUCAGGGCGGCUUACAAAAAUUGGCAAAAUUUAAUGCAUCAAAAUAGGUUAUGAUUUUACAAAUUAAGCACCAAAACAUCAUGUUAUAUAACAAUUUUGACAGAAACAGUAGUUCAUUACACAUUAAUGCUAUGUAGUAAUUACUGUAUUUACGAAUUUAGCACCAAAAUAUCACAAUGUAUUGAAAACAUUGACUACAAAAAUGCAUUGGAUAAUCCAGAAAGUGGGAUAAGUGAGUGUUGGAUAAGUGAGACUCUACUGUAUAUACAUCUGUAAAAAAGGGGUGCAUCUUAGAAUUAUAGGUGUAGCUUAUGUAUUCAGUAGUGGUAUUGAAAUUACGGUGCGUCUUACAGUUGAUGGCAUCUUACAUUGGAGAAAUACAGAAUUAUGAGAAACUGCUAUUCCUUAUAUGUUCAUUUCAUUUAUAUCCCAUCUUCACCCAGCCCAUUGAAAGCAUGAAUUUUAAACUCACAUCCUGUGUUUUGGUCUCUGUCCUGUGCGAUGAAUGUGUGUUUUAUAGAAAUGCAUUUUAAUAUGUGUCAAGGACAGAACACCACAAGAUCAAAGAUAACAGAGUUUAUUGGAUAACAGAACUCAAAAUGCCCGUAAAAUACAAGGGCCAGGCAGUAUUAGCCUUUAAAAGCAAAAAGGGGCAAGGAAAAACGUUCAAAAGAUAAACCGGAUUAAACCGGAGUUUAAUCCGGGUAAAAACAAAACAGCUUGCUUCAGCCUGGGGAUAAACAAAACAGAAGCCGGGGAACAAAGUGUUCAAAAGAAUGCAAUUAAUUGGCAGCAGAUUCCUCUCUGCUGCCAGCACUGUGCUUUGAGUAACUUGAGUCACUCCUCCACACAGCAGGCAAGAUUUCCAAUACACACAGAUCAGCCGAGGAUUGAAGCAGUAGAGUAGACCCAGUUCCUUUCCGUAGUUCAAGCCAGAAGCAGAACUCAAGCCGUGGUCAGUUCAGUCCGAAAUCCAAAGCAGGAGAUGGCGUCCGUCAAGAAGACGACGGAAGGUCAAAGG